GUGGGGAAUAUUGGACAAUGGGCGAAAGCCUGAUCCAGCCAUGCCGCGUGUGUGAAGAAGGUCUUCGGAUUGUAAAGCACUUUAAGUUGGGAGGAAGGGCAGUAAGUUAAUACCUUGCUGUUUUGACGUUACCGACAGAAUAAGCACCGGCUAACUUCGUGCCAGCAGCCGCGGUAAUACGAAGGGUGCAAGCGUUAAUCGGAAUUACUGGGCGUAAAGCGCGCGUAGGUGGUUUUGUAAGUUGGAGGUGAAAUCCCCGGGCGCAACCUGGGAACGGCCUCCAAAACUGCAUGACUAGAGUACGGUAGGGGGUAGUGGAAUUUCCUGUGUAGCGGUGAAAUGCGUAGAUAUAGGAAGGAACACCAGUGGCGAAGGCGACUACCUGGACUGAUACUGACACUGAGGUGCGAAAGCGUGGGGAGCAAACAGGAUUAGAAACCCGUGUAGUCC
rnacentral:rRNA from 1 species